rnacentral:rRNA from 1 species
UACGUAGGGCGCGAGCGUUGUCCGGAAUUAUUGGGCGUAAAGGGCGCGUAGGCGGUCAUGCAAGUGAAAGGUGAAAUCCCUCGGCUCAACUGAGGAACUGCCUUUCAUACUGCGUGACUUGAGUCCGGGAGAGGUGAGUGGAAUUCCUGGUGUAGCGGUGAAAUGCGCAGAUAUCCGGAGGAACACCAGCGGCGAAGGCGGCAUCCUGGACUGGUCCUGACACUCAGGAGCGAAAGCGUGGGGAGCGAUCCGG